rnacentral:rRNA from 1 species
UACGAAGGGGGCUAGCGUUGCUCGGAAUCACUGGGCGUAAAGUGUGCGUAGGCGGGUCUUUAAGUCCGGGGUGAAAUCCUGGAGCUCAACUCCAGAACUGCCCUUGAUACUGAGGAUCUUGAGUUCGGGAGAGGUGAGUGGAACUGCGAGUGUAGAGGUGAAAUUCGUAGAUAUUCGCAAGAACACCAGUGGCGAAGGCGGCUCACUGGCCCGAUACUGACGCUGAGGCACGAAAGCGUGGGGAGCAAACAGG